AUUGAACGCUGGCGGCAGGCAUAACACAUGCAAGUCGAGCGGAGCGGCGGACGGGUGAGUAAUGCCUAGGAAUCUGCCUGGUAGUGGAGUAUAACGUCCGGAAACGAGCGCUAAUACCGCAUACUAUCAGAUGAGCCUAGGGCGGAUUAGCUAGUUGGUGGGGGACAGGCCUACCACGGCGACGAUCCGUAACUGGUCUGAGAGGAUGAUCAGUCACACUGGAACUGAGAAACGGUCCAUACUCCUACGUGAGGCAGCAGUGGGGAAUAUUGGACAAUGGGCGAAAGCCUGAUCCAGACAUGCCGCGUGUGUGAAGAAGGCCUGCGGAUUGUAAAGCACUUUAAGUUGGGAGGCGUUACCAACAGAAUAAGCACCGGCUAACUUCGUGCCAGCCGCCGCGGUAAUAC
rnacentral:rRNA from 1 species